rnacentral:rRNA from 1 species
ACGGAGGAUGCAAGCGUUAUCCGGAAUUAUUGGGCGUAAAGCGUACGUAGGCUGUUUCAUAAGUCUGUUGUCAAAGCCCGAGGCUCAACCUUGGAUCGGCAAUGGAAACUGUGAGACUAGAGAGAGAUAGGGGCAGGAGGAAUUCCAGGUGUAGCGGUGAAAUGCGUAGAUAUCUGGAAGAACACCAGUGGCGAAAGCGUCCUGCUGGAUCUCAACUGACGCUGAAGUACGAAAGCUAGGGGAGCGAAUGGG